rnacentral:rRNA from 1 species
GACGAACGCUGGCGGCGUGCUUAACACAUGCAAGUCGAACGGAAAGGCCCUGCUUUUGUGGGGUGCUCGAGUGGCGAACGGGUGAGUAACACGUGAGUAACCUGUCCUUGACUUUGGGAUAACUUCAGGAAACUGGGGCUAAUACCGGAUAGGAGCUCCUGCUGCAUGGUGGGGGUUGGAAAGUUUCGGCGGUUGGGGAUGGACUCGCGGCUUAUCAGCUUGUUGGUGUGGUAGUGGCUUACCAAGGCUAUGACGGGUAGCCGGCAUGAGAGGGUGACCGGCCACAAUGGGACUGAGAUACGGACCAGACUCGUACGGGAGGCAGCAGUGGGGAAUAUUGCACAGUGGGCGGAAGUCUGAUGCAGCAACGCCGCGUGCGGGAUGCCGGCCUUCGGGUUGUAAACCGCUGUCGACUGUGACGAAGCGUGAGUGACGGUAAUGGGUAAAGAAGCACCGGCUAACUACGUG